CUAGAUCUGGCGGAGAACCCAGACUCUGGUCCACACUGCCUUCGCCAAGGAGACUCCUACCUGACUGAGCGAGUUUGUAUACAGCCUCACCAGCCUGCUCAACAGCAUUGGGCAGGGUUUUGAUGGCUGCUUGGAGCUCAGGGUGUGGUUUGAGCUCCUCCCCAAAGGCCUGUGCCACUGCCUCAAAUGUUACAUCGUCAUGAGUGGGGCCGAUGCCUCCUGCAGUGAGGACAUGAGUGGGAAGCGGCUGGAGAAUGAGGUGACCUCAGCUGCAAUGGUGGCUACCUCAUCAGGUACAACAGAGACUUGGCAAACCUGGACCCCCAGGGAGCGCAGUGUCCGGCACAGAAAGUAAGUGUUGGUGUCUUGAGUGUGUCCCCUAGGAUCGGAGGAAGGAUAAGACUGUCAGUGCUGGGGGAUGAAGGGCAGAGGGGGAGAGAGCUACAUCUGUCUAGUGAUGGGGUGCUCUGUUUUGGGGGUGCCUCCUUAGGCUGCCAAGGAGCUUGGAAUGGGAGGAGGAAUGAGAAAAUCCAUUUGAAUGGAGAGAAGAGGGGAUUCUCCUUGGGGCUGCUUUGCUACCGAUUCAUCCUGACCUCACGUGCAUCUACAGAUUUGGUUGUCAAUUCUGCAGUUUGAUCCUGACACCUCACCUAUAUUUAUAAACUCAAUCAUUAAUUCUGUGUGGCUCUUUCAGUUUUAGUCCCCGGCUUCAAGUGCCUAUUGGGCAGUCUCACCACGUCCCUGGGUAUUGCUGUUUGGCUUAGUGGCAUCCCAGACACUGCCCAUAGUCAGUCAGGUCUUUUAUGUUGUCAACUCCACUUCUGAAAAAUCCUCAGCAACCUUCUCUUUGCUGUUUUCACUUCCUUUAGGCUGGGCCUUAGCACCUUUCCCCUGGACAAUGCUGACAGCCUCCAGCCACUAUGCUCCGUUCCCUGUCCUCUAAGGAACCUUUCUAAUGUGCCACGGUGAUCACUGAAUCACUUCUGUGCUCAAAAAACACGUGUUGUUUCCAAAUGCAUACAGAAUAAAGUUCAAAUUCUUUUGCAAUCAUUAAAGGCUGGCUAUGUUG